rnacentral:tRNA from 1 species
GCCUCCUUAGCUCAGUUGGUUAGAGCAGCUGACUCUUAAUCAGCGGGUCCUAGGUUCGAGUCCUAGAGGGGGCACGU